UGGGCGACUAGCUCAGUUGGGUAGAGCGGCUGCUUUACACGCAGUAGGUCAGGGGUUCGAGUCCCUUGUCGCCCAU
rnacentral:tRNA from 1 species